CCUGGGUUCCCUCCUGGGUCCGCAGUGGAAACACUGCCCUCUCCCUUCUUGACCCCUAGCCCGCCCUUCCCUGCCUCCUUCCCUCCUGUCGCCCUCUCUUCUGGCGCCGCUGCUCCCGGAGGAGCUCCUGGCACGGCGAUGGGUUCUCGGGCCUCCACGUUACUGCGGGACGAAGAGCUCGAGGAGAUCAAGAAGGAGACCGCCUUUUCCCACAGUCAAAUCACUCGCCUCUACAGCCGGUUCACCAGCCUGGACAAAGGGGAGAACGGGACUCUCAGCCGGGAAGAUUUCCAGAGGAUUCCAGAACUUGCCAUCAACCCAUUGGGGGACCGGAUCAUCAAUGCCUUCUUUCCAGAGGGAGAGGACCAGGUAAACUUCUGUGGAUUCAUGCGAACUUUGGCUCAUUUCCGCCCCGUUGAGGAUAAUGAAAAGAGCAAAGAUGUGAAUGGACCCGAACCUCUCAACAGCCGAAGCAACAAACUGCACUUUGCUUUUCGACUGUAUGAUUUGCAUAAAGAUGAAAAGAUCUCCCGUGAUGAGCUGUUACAGGUGCUACGCAUGAUGGUCGGAGUAAAUAUCUCAGAUGAGCAGCUGGGCAGCAUCGCAGACAGGACCAUUCAGGAGGCUGAUCAGGAUGGGGACAGUGCCAUAUCUUUCACAGAAUUUGUUAAGGUUUUGGAGAAGGUGGAUGUAGAACAGAAAAUGAGCAUCCGAUUUCUUCACUAAAGGAGACCAAACUGUUCCUUGCGGUCUAGUAUUUAAGAACUGGAACUUGAAAGUCCUCCUUCCACCAACUCUACCUCCACCCCCUCAUUCCCCUUCUCCCAAAGUACUACUGCUGUUGCAUGACAACCCCAAAUAUGUUCUGUCAACACAAACCUGCCUUUGGUGUAUAAACAGGGCAUUAUAGAAUGGUACACCCUAUCUAUUUCUGUUCAGUAUCCAUUCACUAGUUCUUCAUUUAUAAAUAUCUUCCGUAUUCUGCCGCUGAAUGCCACACAUCCAUCCAGUCUGAGAAAGUGAGAGAGGCAAUCAUGCCAAGAACAAGCCAGCAAAGCUCUUUCACCAGGUGUAGAAUGUAGCCCUGCUUUCCCUCCAGCGAGUCUGCCAGCAUGCUUUAUCCUUUUUAUAUGUUCUUUGCUUCCUACUUCUGUGUCAUCCAACAUACUGUUCACUUACUCUGGCAGUCUUUCUGCCUUUCAUUAAGCCUCAAAAUCUCCUCUGUUCUACUUGGCACCACAAGCUAUGCCUUAUAUAUGUAUUUCUGACUUGGCAGGAUAGUUCAGGGGUCUGGCAGUUUUUAUUUACCUUCAUUAUUAAAUGGGCCUCUGGGAUGUUGCCUCUCCAGGAGCUUUUUGGUAACCAACAUUUCUCUCAAAGUAUGAGACCAUCCUCUGCACUCUGCUCUGUCAUCAAAGGCUGCUAAGUGGAGAUACCCUUUUUGAAAGGUGGCCUUGGUGAGAGGUAUGGAGUCAAGUCUUCUAGGCUGCUUGCCCACAUCACUCUACCUCUGGCCUCUGAUUCUCAACUUUGUACCUAUGUGGCUCCUCUUGUUAGUGCAAUGUUGACUGUUAAAAAAAAAAAAAAACCAGCAGUAUGCUUACAGGUUUGCUUAGUUUGGGGACACUGUAACUACCAGAAUGGCUGCUCUGACAAUAUGCCUAGGGACUUUCUCAUGGCUUUUAUUAACAAGGAGGCUGGGCACCCUAUAAAGCCUCAUGCAUUCACACCUUUGCAGCAUGGUUUAUGCCUCAGUGUUAUGUGCACUGGAAUGUUUUCCACUUCACAUUUCCAAGUAGAAAGAUUAGUGUUACGGAAGUGCCUAAUAUCCCAGUCCAAAUUUAUUUAUUUAUUUAUUUAUUUAUUUUUUGAGACAGAGCCUUGCUCUGUCGC